rnacentral:rRNA from 1 species
GGAAAGUUGAAAAGUACUCUGAAGAGAGAGUUCAAGAGGACGUGAAACCGGUAGGAUGGAAACGGAUAGAGCCAACGAACAAGCCCGUAUUCAGCUAGUCGGCUGCGUGCGGCAUGCCUGUGUGCUCGUUCAGGGUGCAUGGGUGUGUGCGGUAUGCGGUUGGCUAGUGCAUUUGCGGGUGAUGUGCGCUGAGGCGUGUGGUGGAGUCCUGCGAACUGUCUGGAGAGGCCUCGCCUUCGGGCUUGAAACCUACAGGCAGGGAGUAGGGUCUCUACUGCAUGUAGAUGAAACGGCUAGGUGAACUCGCGCUAGCUUGCUGCCGGGCUGAUUGCUUGGUCGGUCGCAUGCGACUAGGCCUUGUCAGUUAGUCUUGGUGGUAGGUUAGUGCCCUGGUCGACCCUCGGUGUAAAAGUUGGUCAUCUCUCCGACCCGUCUUGAAACACGGACCAAGGAGUCUAGCGUAUACGCGAGUCAUUGGGUGGAAAACCCAUAGGCGUAAUGAAAGUGAAGGUCUCUCGCGAGGCUGAUAUGUGAUCCGUUGCACUUCGGUGUAGCGGAGCAGCAUAGCCCCGUCUCGACUGCUUGCAGUGGGGCGGAGGUAGAGCGUAUGCGCUGGUACCCGAAAGAUGGUGAACUAUGCCUGAGCAGGAUGAAGCCAGAGGAAACUCUGGUGGAGGUCCGAAGCGCUUCUGACGUGCAAAUCGAUCGUCUGACUUGGGUAUAGGGGCGAAAGACUAAUCGAACCAUCUAGUAGCUGG